CUUGCGUAUAACGCAUAAAAUAUACCUUCACUUUCCGUUUGCAGAAAUUCACCACAAUAAGUAUAUACAAACGAUUGCAUUAAUAAGUAAACCACGAUACAGGCACUCUUCAUUGCUUCAAUAUUAUUGUUCUCGUUCAGCACCAAAGAGUUGACCAGAGAGAUGCAUCGCGAUAUUGAAGAAGAAACUGUCCGUCAUACAUAAUAUAAAACUUAAUGUGUAUGCUUGAAUAGCCUGGAUAAUCAUGACUAUCACAAACUGUGAACUACUGAUCGAGUUGCUCAAUGGACCAGAUGGAACCAGUAAUACCCAAUUUGUAUUGACUGCACAUCAUGAGAAUGGAAAAUAUUAAAAUAAUAUUGCAGUAAUUUAAUACACAGUUAAAUUACAAAGUUACAUUAACAAAAAUAACAACACAAAAUAAUAAAUACAAUUUUUACCAUUUACUGAAUCAUCCGUGAAGAAUAAUUGCUGUCUAUUCAUAAAUAUGACUACUGCUAUAUAAAAAGCAAUAAACAUAAUUACUCCGUAUAAUAAUGUAAGGAUGACGAAACAUAAAAUUCUCAUGCCUGCGACCAUCGCACUCGCAACGUAUAUUGCAUAUUCUAUAUUUGAAUUGGCGUCCUGGUUGUUCCAGAAGAAAUCCAUCAUAACCAAAACUUCCCUCUUCUAUUAACGUACCUGUGAAAUUAUGCCAAAGCUCCAUUGUAUCUUCGUGAAGCCCGUCUUCUUUUGUAAUGGCCACAAACCGUAUAAUCCUAGAAAGAAUCUAUGAGUAGAGAAAACGUAAGCGACGUCAUCAUUCCAACGUUUAUCCGUCAUUCUGACAUUAUCAAAAGUUUUCAAUGCUGCAUAUUAACGUAUUACUCUACAGAACUCAUGUUUUAUUAACUUGCGCAGUCUCUUCUUUUGCCAGCAAAUUAACUGCUGAGGAUGAGCUGUUCGAAGAAUGAUCAGUGGUAAAGUCUUCAUCAUGCUUACGUCAAAAGUGUACCAUGGUGAUUCAUAAAUUGCACAAGCCAAUUCUUUCGAUUGAAAUUCCAAAGUUUGUCCAGC